GCGCUGUGCCUCGGAAACCUCUGCUGUGAAACUGAGGCUAGGCCGGGCGCGGUGGUGCCGCCUGCUGUCCCCGCCGCUCCGGAGGCCCAGGCUGGAGGAUGCAGCUCUGUGAAGAAGGCGUUCCAUUUUCCCUCGGCCUGCUCGGGAUGCUCAUAAGUGGUUCCAUGGGAAUUGAAGCCUAGCUUCUGUUCCUGGAAGUCCUUUAAUGUUGAAGUACCCUUGGUUUCCAGAAGGUGGCGUCUAUCGGGGUGAUUAAGACAAUGUGAUCUCCAACAACAGUUUUAACCUGGAGAGUGGUUUCUGAAAAACCGUCUCACUCCAGUUCUUCUCUAAGGUGUUUCCAGGAGGAGGUGACUCACACAGAACUGGCAGGUGACAGCUCAAGCACUAUCACCAUUUUGAUAGACAACUUUUCAGGCUCUUGCUCAAUAAAGCUCAAUAAAGCCCCGAAGAAUAUGCAGAAUGGCAGCCCCUGACCCCGCUGCGUCUGUUGACAUUAGUCUGCACAGUGGAACUGAGGGCUGAACAGCACACCUGUGGAGAUGCUAGCCCAAGCCCCGCAGACAAAACGUGAGGUGUCCUAGGAGAAUGACCAGACAGCAUCUUGAGCUUCCUUUGUUUUUUGACGUCGUAUUUCUGAAAGACACCUCCAGAAGACACUGUUUUGAUGUCCUGUCCAGAUGCUCUUCGUGGUGCCCGGAACCCAUCCGUCACUACUAGCAACGAAGGGUGCUAGCGGCUCACCACUGACCCCUUGUGCGCCAAUUGCCCAAGCCCAGGGUUUCUCACCUCAGUAUGGUGGGCAGGUCACGCUGCCACUGGAGGCCGUCCUGUGCAUUGGCAGGAUGGUUAGCAGUAUCCCUGCCCACUCGUCCCUCCAUUCUAGUCCCAGUCCCCCUGAUGUGACAAGCACAAUACCUCCAGACUGUCAAAUAGUCCCUAGGGGACAAAUCGCCCAUGGUUGAGAACAGCUACUCCAGAYUGAUGGAAGCCACCAGGAAGUGACUCCACCACCAUCCCAGGCUCCCAACGGUGGGGCUGAUGUGGGGAACUAAAGCCCCUCAAAGAGGAAGUUGACUCUAUGGCAGGAGACCGCCUGCUGGGAUGCUGAGAAGGUAGCCCCUUUCUUGAUGUGGAUGGAGUGACGUGGGUCUAUCCCCAGGUGACAAUCCACAACACCAUGGAUUUAAGGUUCAUGUGCUUUACUGUGUAUCUCGAUGAAAAAGAAUCUGUGGGUGUUUGGUCCACUCUCAAGACUGGGUGCUGGAAAGGCAGGCUGCUGCUGCCUCGUGUCUGUGUUUUGCACAGGGCAGUGCCUGUGGCUGCAGAGCACAGCCCUGUCCAGUGUUACACCUUGGGUGGGCCACUGUACCCAAAGGCCUGACUCCUGGUUUCAAUGACAGCUCUGAGGAAACUGCUAAAUAUUGGGGGCAGGGGGAGCCGUCAGAGCUCCGUGGACUUGGCUGAGGUCUUGGUUUCAACUGUAUCAUCCAGUCCCACCUUCACCUUACAGGUGUUUCUCAAAGAACACUCCCUUCAAUACCAUAUGCUCUCCACCCUCUGUAGGGUCUGUUUUCAGGUGUCCUAUCUAAUAACCUCUGGGGAUGGGAAUGUAGCUCAGUGGUAAAUCACGUGCUUAGUAUGUAUGCAUGAGGACCCAGGUUCAAUGCCCAGCACCCUAAAAACAAACAGAUCUGCCCCAUACACUAGAAUCCCUCCAAAUAGACCAGAAUGCUGACUUUACUCUCCACGCUGAAAUUCCCAAAAUUCACUCUGUUCUCCUUGAUUUUCCUAGAAUUAAAGCCAUGAGUUGACUUGUCUCUGAAAAACCCAUGGCCACGGUUCACUAUCUUCCUGAAUGCCUCUGUGAUUGCAGCAGCCACCCAAAAGAAACCAAUCUCAUGGAAAAGAACAGCAGCCACAAAACUGGGAGCUCUGUGCAGGGGAAAUACAGGCCCUCCUGCAAUUCAAAACCAUCUCUGUUGAUUACACGUAUCAUAAACUCAUGGCAGGCACUUCUCUCAAGUGGAGCUAGCAUAACUGGCUGUUGUGCAUUGUGUCCCCAGAAGAGUUCACAUUAGUCACUUUUCCCUGAAUAAGGACAGAUCCUUUCAACAGCUGCACUAGUGUUUAAAAUGCAGGUAGUAAUUAUGUUAUUGUCAACUGUACACAAUCAAAACGCAGCUUCGGCCCUUCCCGGCCUCUCGUCUCUGUGCCACGCUCUGCACUCUGUGCUUGCAUAUCCUCUGCGAAUCACAUCUGUCCUUCAUUUCCUCACACUCCACACCCUGCACGACAUUUUCUUUGUUUCACAUCAAUGUUUUGAUGAUUGUUUUGGCCAURUGGGUUUGGUUUAUUUACACUGGUUUUCAUGGUUCUUUCAGUAUUUAAUAGCUUUUUAGUUGUGAUUUUUUUUUUUGUUCAAUCAUGAUUCAUAGCCAAUGAGGUAUAUUUUCUCUCUGGGUGAGACAUGAAGAAACCAGACAAUUUAAACUUAAGUCUUCCGGCCUUCAGGAAGUUUUCAGCCAAUGGACAGUGCCUGAAGAGACAUUUAUAGAGCCAGUUGCUUCCAUUACUAUCAUUUAUGGAGUGGAUUUUUUUUCCAGUUCAGAAAACAAUGUUAAGGGUCUCUUCUUUUUCUCUCAGCA